rnacentral:rRNA from 1 species
UACGGAGGGUGCAAGCGUUAUCCGGAUUCACUGGGCUUAAAGGGUGCGUAGGUGGGUUGAUAAGUCAGUGGUGAAAUCUCCGAGCUUAACUUGGAAACUGCCAUUGAUACUAUUAGUCUUGAAUACCGUGGAGGUUAGUGGAAUAUGUCAUGUAGCGGUGAAAUGCUUAGAUAUGACAUAGAACACCCAUUGCGAAGGCAGCUGACUAGACGGUGAUUGACACUGAGGCACGAAAGCGUGGGGAUCAAACAGG